rnacentral:siRNA from 1 species
UGCUCAAACCUGAAACGAUGC